GCACAAAUCAUUUAUAUUUCACAUAAAGCCAUCUGAAAGUGGGUAGUGCAGUGUAAAGGAUCCUUUUAAGCUGUAUCUUACAAAGAUGGACAAAUUAACAACCGUAUUUUGGUUCAUAUAUUUGGUUAACUCAAUCCACACGCAUUCUGUGCUUAAAACGUACGAGUACUCAACAGUUCCCCAGUUGGAGCAAAAUACCACAAUAAUCGACUCGAAAACAAUCAUCACAAUUGAUGUCUUGCAAAACCAGCUCAAUCAAAUUCUGGUUCAACUUUGUGCUUCUGAAAUCGAUCGAAACAAAACAGCGU